rnacentral:rRNA from 1 species
UGGGGAAUCUUGCGCAAUGGGCGAAAGCCUGACGCAGCAACGCCGCGUGCGGGAAGACGGCCUUCGGGUUGUAAACCGCUUUCAGCAGCGACGAAGGCGACCGGGUUAAUAGCCCGUUCGUUGACGGUACCUGCAGAAGAAGGUCCGGCUAACUACGUGCCAGCAGCCGCGGUAAUACGUAGGGACCGAGCGUUGUCCGGAAUCAUUGGGCGUAAAGAGCGUGUAGGCGGCUGACCAAGUCCUGCGUGAAAUCUUGCGGCUCAACCGCAAGCGGUCGUGGGAAACUGGUCGGCUAGAGUGCGGGAGAGGAGAGUGGAAUUCCUGGUGUAGCGGUGAAAUGCGCAGAUAUCAGGAAGAACACCCGUGGCGAAGGCGGCUCUCUGGAACGCAACUGACGCUGAGACGCGAAAGCGUGGGGAGCAAACAG